rnacentral:rRNA from 1 species
AGGACGAACGCUGGCGGCGUGCUCAAACAUGCAAGUCGAACGGAGUUAAGUGAAAGCUUGCUUUACUUAACUUAGUGGCGGACUGGUGAGUAACGCGUGAACAAUCUGCCUAUCACAGGGGGAUAACAGUUGGAAACGACUGCUAAUACCGCAUAAGACCACAGGGUGGCAUCACCUAGGGGUCAAAGGAGUUAAAUCUGGUGAUAGAUGAGUUUGCGUAUCAUUAGCUAGUUGGUGAGGGUAAAGGCCCACCAAGGCAACGAUGAUUAGCCGAUCUGAGAGGAUGACCGGCCACACUGGGACUGAGAUACGGCCCAGACUCCUACGGGAGGCAGCAGUUAGGAAUAUUGGGCAAUGGAGGAAACUCUGAACCCCCAGCAACGCCGCGUGAAGGAAGAAGGUUUUCGGACUGUAAACUUCUGAUCUGAGGGAAAAAGAAAGUGAUGGUACCUCAGGAGAAAGCCACGGCUAACUACGUGCCAGCAGCGGC